CCUACGGGAGGCAGCAGUGGGGAAUAUUGGACAAUGGGGGCAACCCUGAUCCAGCCAUGCCGCGUGUGUGAAGAAGGCCCUCGGGUUGUAAAGCACUUUCAGUGAGGAAGAACGCCUGGUGGUUAAUACCCAUCAGGAAAGACAUCACUCACAGAAGAAGCACCGGCUAACUCCGUGCCAGCAGCCGCGGUAAUACGGAGGGUGCGAGCGUUAAUCGGAAUUACUGGGCGUAAAGCGCGCGUAGGUGGCUUGAUAAGCCGGUUGUGAAAGCCCCGGGCUCAACCUGGGAACGGCAUCCGGAACUGUCAAGCUAGAGUGCAGGAGAGGAAGGUAGAAUUCACGGUGUAGCGGUGAAAUGCGUAGAGAUCGGGAGGAAUACCAGUGGCGAAGGCGGCCUUCUGGACUGACACUGACACUGAGGUGCGAAAGCGUGGGUAGCAAACAGGAUUAGAUACCCCUGUAGUC
rnacentral:rRNA from 1 species